GAUGAACGCUGGCGGCGUGCCUAAUACAUGCAAGUCGAGCGAACGGACGAGAAGCUUGCUUCUCUGAUGUUAGCGGCGGACGGGUGAGUAACACGUGGAUAACCUACCUAUAAGACUGGGAUAACUUCGGGAAACCGGAGCUAAUACCGGAUAAUAUUUUGAACCGCAUGGUUCAAAAGUGAAAGACGGUCUUGCUGUCACUUAUAGAUGGAUCCGCGCUGCAUUAGCUAGUUGGUAAGGUAACGGCUUACCAAGGCAACGAUGCAUAGCCGACCUGAGAGGGUGAUCGGCCACACUGGAACUGGGACACGGGCCAGACUCCUACGGGAGGCAGCAGUAGGGAAUCUUCCGCAAUGGGCGAAAGCCUGACGGAGCAACGCCGCGUGAGUGAUGAAGGUCUUCGGAUCGUAAAACUCUGUUAUUAGGGAAGAACAUAUGUGUAAGUAACUGUGCACAUCUUGACGGUACCUAAUCAGAAAGCCACGGCUAACUACGUG
rnacentral:rRNA from 1 species